AUUUGUCUGGUUAAUUCCGAUAACGAACGAGACCUUAACCUGCUAACUAGUUCUCAAUACUCUGUAUUCUGCAACUUCUUAGAGGGACUAUGUAAAUCAAUUACAUGGAAGUUUGAGGCAAUAACAGGUCAGUGAUGCCCUUAUAUGUCCUGGGCUGCACGCGUGCUACACUGAUGCAUACAACAAGUGCCUAGCCAGACAUGGUAUGGCAAUCUCGAAUAUGCAUCGUGAUGGGGAUAGAUCUUUGCAAUUAUAGAUCUUGAACGAGGAAUUCCUAGUAAGUGCAAGUCAUCAUCUUGCAUUGAUUAUGUCCCUGCCCUUUGUACACACCGCCCGUCGCUCCUACCGAUACCGGGUGAUCCGGUGAACCUUUUGGACUCCGUACGGGGGAAGAUAAGUAAACCAUAUCACCUAGAGGAAGGAGAAGUCGUAACAAGGUUUCCGUAGGUGAACCUGCRGAAGGAUCA
rnacentral:rRNA from 1 species